ensembl:snRNA U6 U6 spliceosomal RNA
GUUUUAUCAAUUUCUGCAGCACAUAUAUAAAAAUUGGAAUGAUACAGUAAAGAUUAGCAUGGCCCCUGUGCGAGG